GACAGAGGGGGCAAGCGUUGCUCGGAAUUACUGGGCGUAAAGGGCGCGUAGGCGGUCCUGUAAGUCCUGUGUGAAAUCCCUCGGCUCAACCGAGGAACUGUACAGGAAACUGCGGGACUUGAGUUCGGGAGAGGGAAGCGGAAUUCCGGGUGUAGCGGUGAAAUGCGUAGAUAUCCGGAGGAACACCGGUGGCGAAGGCGGCUUCCGGGACCGACACUGACGCUGAGGCGCGAAAGCCAGGGGAGCAAACGGG
rnacentral:rRNA from 1 species